rnacentral:tRNA from 1 species
UCUAAUAUGGCAGAAUAGUGCAAUGGAUUUAAGCCCCAUAAAUAAAGGCUGACUUUUUUUAGAA